CCCGGGGCUGCACCCAGAGCGUUUCCAGCCCCGGGCAGGCCAGGGCGGUUUGGGCUGCGCAGGCUUGACAUUCCCGCACACCCGGGCAUGACCUUGGCAUCGGAACCCCCAGCCUGGAUGAGUGACUUUUCAGGAGUGCCGAUGUCUCCCUGGCAAGAAGGAGAUGCCAUCGUCGAUGUUUGAUUUAAUUACCAGCAGUCAGUACACAAGGCAGGAAAGAGAAUAAGCAAAUCUCAGCAUGGAGCCUUUCCAACAGAGAAGAGAUUUUGCAUCCCCAUGUAAGUCAGCUCCUACUCCUUGUGGAAACACACCCCCAAGACUCCUGCAUGCACAUCACUGCUUGCUCAUUAAUUGAGUCUUAAGUAGCAGUUAUCAUCACAGUAGCAGCUCUGGAGUAACUUAACACCCAACUUCUUGUUCUAGGCACAGAUUGACAACAGUGAUCCAAAAACACAGGUUCCCCUUUCACAGGAAUGUGGGAUGGGUUUUUCCCCUUUUUAAAGUUGAAAUACCACGGUCUUUCUAGGAAGAAAGCCCAUGUGCCACCCUGCAUACUGAGGCUGGAAGAUACGGGUGUUAAAUAAGGCAUUUUGGAUUAACAACAUCUAGUCCCAUCCCAAAAAGCGCAAUGCUUUAAAAUUAUUUAACAAUCAAUUUUUAUUUAUCCUCAUAAGAAUCAUAAUCAAAAACUCAACGCAAGCCUGAACAUGGAAGGACACAUCGCAAAGAGCCAGAAAUGGAUUCUCAGCUGUAGUUCAUUCAGUCGCCAGGUUGAGGCACAGGAGCCUUGUUUGGGCUUGCUCUGGUUUGCUCUCAGCUUGUAGCUGGUGAAACUGCCUCAAGGUGCUGCUUUGGGGCAUCCUCUGAUCGAGUGUAUAUAGACAUACACAGCAAUGACAGCUCGACUGAGCGACUUACACAUUGGGCAUCUCUUAUUCCUUACAACCACCCGCUGUCUUUAAAGAACCUCUGGUGAAGUUACAGCAUGACUCUUUCCCCCUUUGUCAGAUUAUGACACAGAGGAUUGAUCGGUUCAAAUGCUGCAGUUUCCUACAGCUCCUUUUUUAUUGUUGCCUUUUUUUGACCCUUUUAUCAGUUUUUGCCUCUUUAACCUUCAGCAGCAGAUGAUGCUGCGGUCAGAAGUGUAAUGAACUCUUGACAAGAUGUGUUUCCUUUCCCUUGUGACUUGCAAACACCCAAAUAUUUUCUUUUAAGAAAGGCCUAUUAAGCUUCCCAGCCACACUUGCACGUUACCAUGUCCCUGUAACACCUACUUUUGAUAUCAAGCAGGGAUUACCAUCAUAACCUGAAGCCUUCCACACAGUGCUGCAAAGCGAGGACCUUUUUGUUCCUGCAGGUCUGUUGGCUUAGCGCUGGCUCUGGCCUGUCUCACUACGCAGCUUAUUCCCGAUCCAUCUUCUGAGCUUACAAAAUAUGAGAUAAAAAUAGAUCAUCGUUCCAUCUAAAUUCCCAUAAUCCUUGUGCUCAUUAAAAAUAAAGCCAUGAGGCUGCUCUGAGUCAGGAUUGCGCUAAUUGGUGCAACUGGCACUUCUGACCUUGUGGUAUCUACCCUUCCUACAGCCAGGCUCGCAGCGCUGCCUGCCCUACACGGCAUAUGUAACACCUCCUUCCACAAGCGCUGCAGAGGGACGUGCAUGGAACAAAGCUCAGGAGGUUUUGCAUAGCAGCGUGUGGCUUUUCCACAUCCCACCCUCAGCUUAACCGAGUGUUUUGGGUUUAUUUUACUAUAUUAAGUUAAAGGGCCACCACUAAGAAUGAGAGGCCAACGUCCCAGAGCUCCAUUAGGGAGACAGAGCUGUUCCCCAAAUUGCUCUCGACAAGGGGCUCUGGUUCAGGUAGCAGCAUGUUGGUAUCUAUGAACAACUGCCUGGCUCUCAGUGACUCAGGGAGAUGCCAGCAGGAGCUUAUUGAACUUAAACCUCAUUUGAGCAGUUUUGUUUUAAAGAAAGGCCGGGAUGAAGGAAGUAAACUCCCUUUGCUCACUUUAUCUUACGGAACAGCUUUAUCUUCUUAGUCUCCUUCACUACGCAAUGAAAUUAAAUGUGUGUGUUUUUGUGCAGGGAAUUAAAAACUAUUUGCAGCAGAUAUUUUGUUGCUGCAGCCGCCAA